AUUGAACGCUGGCGGCAGGCCUAACACAUGCAAGUCGAACGAGUGGCGGACGGGUGAGUAAUGUCUGGGACACUGCCCGAUGGAGGGGGAUAACUACUGGAAACGGGAGCUAAUACCGCAUACCAUCGGAUGUGCCCAGAGGGGAUUAGCUAGUAGGUGGGGUAAAGGCUCACCUAGGCGACGAUCCCUAGCUGGUCUGAGAGGAUGACAAGGAACACUGGAACUGAGACACGGGCCAGAAUCCGACGGGAGGCAGCAGUGGGGAAUAUGGCACAAUGGGCGAAAGCCUGAUGCAGCCAUGCCGCGUGUAUGAAGAAGGACUGCGGGUUGUAAAGUACUUGCAGCGAGGAGGCGUUACUCGCAGAAGAAGCACCGGCUAACUCCGUGCCAGCAGCCGCGGUAAUAC
rnacentral:rRNA from 1 species